ACAUGCCUACAACAUAGCGUUAAUGCACCGAAUCCCAUUAGAACUCUACAGUUAAGUGCACUCAAGCUAGAGUAGUACUAGGAUGGGUGAUCGCCCGGGAAGUGCUAGUGUUUUACAUGCC
rnacentral:rRNA from 1 species